CCUACGGGAGGCAGCAGUGAGGAAUAUUGGUCAAUGGCCGGAAGGCUGAACCAGCCAUGCCGCGUGAAGGUCAGUGCCCUAUGGGCGUUAAACUUCUUUUGUGCGGGAGCAAUAAUGGUCACGUGUGGCCAGACGAGAGUACCGUACGAAUAAGCAUCGGCUAACUCCGUGCCAGCAGCCGCGGUAAUACGGGGGAUGCAAGCGUUAUCCGGAUUUAUUGGGUUUAAAGGGUGCGUAGGCUGUGAGGUAAGUCAGCGGUGAAAUGCCCCCGCUCAACGGGGUGAAGUGCCAUUGAUACUGCCUGGCUGGAAUGCGGAUGACGUGGGAGGAAUGUGUGGUGUAGCGGUGAAAUGCAUAGAUAUCACACAGAACACCGAUUGCGAAGGCAUCUCACGAAUCCGCGAUUGACGCUGAUGCACGAAAGCGUGGGUAUCAAACAGGAUUAGAUACCCGAGUAGUC
rnacentral:rRNA from 1 species